rnacentral:rRNA from 1 species
CCAUCCCAGUUCGGAUCGCAGGCUGCAACCCGCCUGCGUGAAGUUGGAAUCGCUAGUAAUCGCGGAUCAGCAUGCCGCAGUGAAUACGUUCCCGGGCCUUGUACACACCGCCCGUCACACCAUGAGAGUCGGGAACACCCGAAGUCCGUAGCCUAACUGCAAAGGGGGCGCGGCCGAAGGUGGGUUCGAUAAUUGGGGUGAAGUCGUAACAAGGUAUC